rnacentral:misc_RNA from 1 species
CCCCAGAUGACCACGGGCAUGCUUUGUCUUGCAAUAAGUGCAAGCACCCAAACAACCAACAUUAAUUGGAAGAAUCUCAACAAACUUGUUCUUACGAACCUUAGGCAAGUCUAGCGCAGGCAAUGUCUUGCGGUUUAAAAGCCGCACCUCAUGACCUUUUAGAGUCUCUUCCACAACUUCAACUACACGGUCUAUUUGCUGGACACCAACUAUACUGACUCCUUCUAGUUCUUUCAAAUUUCGACUGCCUUGAGGCACACACCCAGCAACCACCAGGGGUUUUUUUGCCCUUUUGCCCUUUGUUAAUAGAGUGUCCAUUGCAGACUGACUUGGAGAUUUUACAGUGCAUGUAUUGAUCAGCCACAAGUCAGCAUCCUCGGGAAUGUCAGUUAAUGCAUAACCAAAUGAUGAAAGCUGCCCAGCCAUAUAUUCACUGUCACUCUGAUUAUGUGAGCAUCCAAAAGUCUUGAUAUAUAUGGUCUGAGUGCCAGGAAUUUUGGAAGAGAAAGGGAUUUGAGAGACCUUGGAUGCAUCGAGGUUAGAUUUGUUCUUAUUCUUCCUGGGAAUAACGCCAAUGGAAUUCAGAGGCAGACGAAAUCCAGGAGGAAUACCACCUCCACUACCAAUCAAUAAAUCUUCUAUGUCUUCCAUUUUGCCCUUUCAAACUUGAAAGCUGCAAGAAGAGGA